GAAGUGACGUCCACCAAGUCCAGGUACAAAUGACAAGGAGAGGGGGGUUAUGGAGCCACAGCUGGAAGGAGUCUGGUCCUUGAAUCACCAUUUGGAGAAAAAACGUGCAGAUGAUCCCAUCCUGCCUGCACAGCUUCUCCAGGGGAGAUAGACACACAGAAGCCCACGAGAGUCAAAUAAGAGCCAUACCUUCCAGGCGAGUCACAAACAAUUCUGCCUUCUGACAGUCAUAGUCCAGGCAGUAGUGGAGUUUGGGGGCCUGGUUCCAACUGGCAGCCUUCUCUGGGUUCCAGGUCUCCAUGACACAGACAUCCUCCACCACACCUGUUAAGAAAGUCGAAAUCGUCACUGCCACCCACACUGGGGUUCUGCUUUCCUGAUUACACCUUUCUCAUCUCUAUCACCUAUGCCAGGAACCCAAACCCAAGUCUUCCCAGCUGUGUGCAGAAUCACAGUGGCCACACCAAGACAACAGGUGGGGUCAAUGUCACAGCCCAUUAGGCUGCAUCUGUGUCCACUGGCUCCCUCAUCAACCACACAAAACAAAACAGAGACUACACAACAAUCUACGCCCAGCAGCAGCAUAGUACACCUAAAGGUGCUGCACUCUUGAUGUGGAUGCUGAUGAAAAGGAGAGUAGAAAUAAUAACAAUAUGUUUCGACGGGGCAUGGUGGCUCAUGCCUGUAACCCCAGCACUUCGAGAGGCCAAGGCAAGAAGACCACUUGAGCCCAGGAAUUUGAGACCAGCCUGGGCCACAUAGUGAGAUCUCAUGUCUACAAAAAAUAAGCAAAAAUUAUCUGGGCAUGGUGGCAUGCACCUGUAGUCCUAGGUACUCAGGAGGCCGAGGUGAGAGGAUCACUGGAGCCUGGGAGAUUGAGGCUGCAGUGGCCCACGA
rnacentral:lncRNA from 1 species